rnacentral:rRNA from 1 species
GAUGAACGCUGGCGGCGUGCCUAAUACAUGCAAGUCGAGCGAACGGACGAGAAGCUUGCUUCUCUAAUGUUAGCGGCGGACGGGUGAGUGACACGUGGAUAACCUACCUAUAAGACUGGGAUAACUUCGGGAAACCGUAGCUAAUACCGGAUAAUAUUUUGAACCGCAUGGUUCAAAAGUGAAAGACGGUCUUGCUGUCACUUAUAGAUGGAUCCGCGCUGCAUUAGCUAGUUGGUAAGGUAACGGCUUACCAAGGCAACGAUGCAUAGCCGACCUGAGAGGGUGAUCGGCCACACUGGAACUGAGACACGGUCCAGACUCCUACGGGAGGCAGCAGUAGGGAAUCUUCCGCAAUGGGCGAAAGCCUGACGGAGCAACGCCGCGUGAGUGAUGAAGGUCUUCGGAUCGUAAAACUCUGUUAUUAGGGAAGAACAUAUGUGUAAGUAACUGUGCACAUCUUGACGGUACCUAAUCAGAAAGCCACGGCUAACUACGUG